CAGAGUAAGCUUGCGUGCGUUAAGUGUCGUGUGAACGGGGAGUUGUCACAUGAACGAAAAGUGAUCUUGCGGUACGCUUGCUGCAUCCCGCUG
rnacentral:ncRNA from 1 species